rnacentral:rRNA from 1 species
AAACUUUCAACAACGGAUCUCUUGGUUCUGGCAUCGAUGAAGAACGCAGCGAAAUGCGAUAAGUAAUGUGAAUUGCAGAAUUCAGUGAACCAUCGAAUCUUUGAACGCACAUUGCGCCCGCCAGCACUCUGGCGGGCAUGCCUGUUCGAGCGUCAUU